ACGGGAGGCAGCAGUGAGGAAUAUUGGUCAAUGGUCGGAAGACUGAACCAGCCAAGUCGCGUGCAGGAAGACGGUCCUAUGGAUUGUAAACUGCUUUUUGUACGGGAAUAAAGUUCGGGACGUGUCCCGAUUGGAAUGUACCGUAAGAAUAAGGGUCGGCUAACUCCGUGCCAGCAGCCGCGGUAAUACGGAGGACCCGAGCGUUAUCCGGAUUUAUUGGGUUUAAAGGGUGCGCAGGCGGAGGAUUAAGUCAGCGGUGAAAUUUUCAUGCUCAACAUGGAAACUGCCAUUGAUACUGGUCCCCUUGAGAGAUGUCGAGGAUGGCGGAAUGUGGUGUGUAGCGGUGAAAUGCUUAGAUAUGCUGCAGAACUCCGAUUGCGAAGGCAGCUGUCCAGAGAUGAACUGACGCUCAGGCACGAAAGCAUGGGUAUCAAACAGGAUUAGAUCCCCUGGUU
rnacentral:rRNA from 1 species